UUCCCUCUUCCAUUCUGAUUUUUUCAAUUACUUUACCGUAUACCAACUCUGCAAUCUCAAUUUUUCACUCCAUUGCUUUCUGUCAAUCUGGUUUUCUGAAAAUGCAGCGACAAUAAUUAAAAAAGAAGGAAGAAGAGUAUGAAACUAUUUUUGCUUUUGCGGUAUUCCCAUUUUAUCUUGGCAUUGUAGAAUUGGUGGUGGGUCAUGAUAAUUUAACAAAGCAAAGGACGGGUUGGUUCUGCUGGAAACAAGUUCAAAAUGUCACUGGGUUUGCCAGUGGCAGCGGUGGUGAGCUGUGCUGAUAACACUGUUGUAGGCUAAGAAUCUUUACAUCAUAUCGGUGAAAGAAAUGAAGGAUUGCCUCAACAGAACGCCACGUGAGCCCCAAAACAGACAGAAACUUGCAAGAGAAAACCAGUGAACCACAAAAUUGUUACUCAGGUGUGUUCUGUUUAAAUCCAUGCCUAGAAACAAACAAAUUCAGUGCCGUUUUUUGCCUUUUUCUAGUGUCCAAUCUAAGUUGCUUGAGCUUAUUCUAAACUUGCGAUUUUACGCGAGUUUGCUCGAGUUCACACGAGCCUACUCAAAAAAGAUCAUGCGUGAGAGUUCAGUAGGUUCAAGGGCAUGACUAAUGCACUUUUAGGGGUUUUAGAACUUGUUAUUUUCUUACUGAAAUGGAAGGAUUCAAAUGUUGCUGGUUGAGCAUCACAUAUCUUUUUAAUAUUAUUAACGAGGAUAUGGUAGCUUGAUGUAUAAUUAACUAGCUAGAUCGAUGCAUGCUAUCGAAUAUAUCGAGUUGGAUCUCUCAUGGGAUCUUACUUUUCGCCAUUCGGUACAUUGUUUCAUUCUUUCCAAUUUUUUUCUGCUUUAUGAUGAGUGAUGUUCUGUUCUGUUGAUAUUUAUUUUUGAAAGGUAACUUAGCGCAGUUUGGUUUUAUAAAAAAAAUACUGGUAAUGUAGUGUGAAGAUUUUAAUUUUGAGGUUUUUCUGCACUUCUUAAGUCCAGUUAUCCUUAUACUCUACCAUACCUUUAUCGAGCCCUUUUGUUUAUCAUCUCUGUCAAGGUUUUGGGGUUUUUUAUUUUUCUUAUAAUUUUCGAUUUUUAUUAUGAAAUUUCUGUUCAUUUGGGAAAUGGAAUGUCCGAAGAGAUACAAUUUGUAAGUGAAGGUUUUGAUAAUACUUAUUAUUAGUUUUGUGGACUUCAUCUCUCAUUGUUUCUCUCUCUCAUCUUUUUAAGGUUUUAAUUCUCUGAUAGAUAGUUUCUAUCUCCAGACUUUAGUCAGGUAUUCUCCUAAAAAAUAUUAUGGUUGAUACAGUUACAAGUCUGGAAAAUUAAUGUGCCCAUCGUUACAGAUGUGAUAGUCUUCUCGUGCUUACAUCUGCUCCAUUGGGGCUCCACACAUUUGUGGCUGAAUUUUACGUAUUUAUCUGUUACACUAUAUAUUAUAUAUUAUACAAAGACAAAAGAAAUUGUUUUUUAGGGUAUUUUUAGUUUUCGUUUUCUUUACGAACUAAAAUCUUUUUAAAAUUUUUUAAAUCCUAUACCCUCAGUUUAUAUGUUGACAUAUUUCCCUAUAUAAGUCAUACUUUACUCAUUUCAUUUGCAUUAUUGUCUCCAGACAUUAGUAAGGUAUCCUGCUCAACAAACUAUGGUUGAUACAGUUACAGGUCUGGGAAAUUAAACCGAGUCCAUUGUUACAGAUGUGAUGACCUUUUUGUCAUGCUCACAUCUACUCCAUUGGGGCUUUACAGUCAUGUCAGCAAGCUCCAAUGGUGGAAACCUAUAAGAACAACUUAUUUCCAGGAACCCCUGUUAGAGCCGCCAUUGGCCUAAUAUGGGAGAGAGAUGAGCUUCUGGACUAUCAAUUUUCUUAGAGGCAUGGCUCUGGUGUAUUAUUUUCAAUCCUGGGCUUAUGACAUCUGUAUCAAUAAUAUUCUCUUAAUACAGUUAUCCGUUUCCAAGAACCCCUGUUAGAACCGCCAUUGGCCUAAUAUGGGAGAGAGAUGAGCUUCUGGAUUAUCAAUUUUCUUAGAGGCAUGGCUCUGGUGUAUUAUUUUCAAUCCUGGGCUUAUGACAUUUUUGUCAAUAUAUUCUCUUAAUACAAUUAUCUAUUUCCAAGAACCCCUGUUAGAACCGCCAUUGGCCUAAUAUGGGAGAGAGAUGAGCUUCUGGAUUAUCAAUUUUCUUAGAGGCAUGGCUCUGGUGUAUUAUUUUCAAUCCUGGGCUUAAGACAUUUUUAUCAAUAAUAUUCUAUUGAUACAGUUAUCCAUUUCAUGCUUCUGCUUUUUGGGCAUUUUUGAGCCUUGAAUUGCAUACCAGAUUUUUGUACCAGUUAUUUUCAUAUUUGACCCACUUUCUGUUUGUUCUGGAAUAAUGGUCAGAAGGGAGACAGUGAUGUUGUUUUCAUCUUUUAGUUCAGAAAAUGGACAUUAGUAAGAGCCUUAGUCCUGGCAAGGUAAUUCAGUGUCGGUUACAAUCGUGGCCUUUUUAUACAAAUGCUGAUGAUGCAGCCAUGGUGAGGCUCUUCUCUUCUGUCUCUUGCCUGUGUAAAGAUGAAUCUGAGUCUUUUUAUCUGAAACCCUGCUAUUAGGGUUACACUCAUGAGUCAUUAGUUUAAGUGUGAGGCUCCACUCUUUGAGAGAAGGUUGUCUUGAUAGCUGUUGCCCUCUUGAAGUUGCUGUGUUAGCCAAUGAUCAUUAUAAUUGAGUUUACCAAACAGCUCUCCGCAUACAUACACCCACCCAAACAUAUAUUUCUUUCUGCUUCUACUGGGAUUCAGUUACUUCUUCUUCUUCUUCUUGCUACUACGAGGCAAUGAUGAUGUUUUCUGCAAUUAGACCAGAUAUGAGUGAAGAGCUGUGUCCUGGCUAGGUGACUUGGCAUCUGUGUGAAAUUUACCUUCUGGUUCUUGCACAGAUGCUAUUGACGCAGCCUGUGCACAAGCCAUUCCUUUGCUGUCUGAAAAAAGGCGAAUCUGAGCCUCCUUUAUUCAUAAUAAUUUUAACUUUCUGACAAUUAUGAAUUUAUAUUUUCCUUCUGAAUGCUUUAAUAUGGCAGGUGACAGGAACACAUUAGUUUACUCCGUUCAUUGUUCACCAAUAUGGCCGAUGCUUUUUAUUGCACUUAAACUAGUGCUUUCCUUUGGCUUCCAAUGUUUCUGCAUUUGUAUGUGACUUGGAGAGUGACAUGUGGCUGAAAAGUGUCCUUUUUGAGCAAUUGAAAAUAAUUUUAUUUUUGAGGUUUCUCUGCCCCUCUUAAGACCAGUUAUCAUUAUACUAUACCAUACCCUUACCGAGCCCUUACUAUAAUUUCAGUUUUGGCAGCCGUGUUAGCAAGCUCCAAUGGUGGAAACCCAUAAGAACUACUUAUUUCUUAGAUGGUAGAGGGACGAGGUUUUGGGCAAUGAAUUUUCUGAAGAGGAUCUCUGCACAGAAACAAAAAUGAAAGGAAAAGAGAAACAUUUAGCCAAAAAUCGAGGACUAUUGAAAGAAAAGUAGAGGUAAUGGUACUCACCUAAAGAUAAUUUUAGUCCAACCAUAGUAACCAGCUGCUACGAGGUUGUCGAUUGUGGCUGAUCU